rnacentral:rRNA from 1 species
CUCUUAAGAUUGAGCUGUGAUGGGGAGAGGAACUUGUUCCUCGAGUCGUUGAUUUCACACUGCCGAGAAAAGCCUCUAGCUAGAAUAACGGUGCCCGUACCGCAAACCGACACAGGUAGUCAAGAUGAGAAUUCUAAGGUGAGCGAGCGAACUCUCGUUAAGGAACUCGGCAAAAUGACCCCGUAACUUCGGGAGAAGGGGUGCUCUUUGAGGUUCACGCUUCGAAGAGCCGCAGUGAAUAGGCCCAAGCGACUGUUUAUCAAAAACACAGGUCUCUGCUAAACCGUAAGGUGACGUAUAGGGGCUGACGCCUGCCCGGUGCUGGAAGGUUAAGAGGAGUGGUUAGCGCAAGCGAAGCUACGAAUCGAAGCCCCAGUAAACGGCGGCCGUAACUAUAACGGUCCUAAGGUAGCGAAAUUCCUUGUCGGGUAAGUUCCGACCCGCACGAAAGGCGUAACGAUUUGGGCACUGUCUCAACGAGAGACUCGGUGAAAUCAUAGUACCGGUGAAGAUGCCGGUUACCCGCGACAGGACGGAAAGACCCCGUGGAGCUUUACUGUAGCCUGAUAUUGAAAUUCGGUACAGUUUGUACAGGAUAGGUAGGAGCCUUAGAAGCGUGAGCGCUAGCUUACGUGGAGGCAUUGGUGGGAUACUACCCUAAUUGUAUUGGAUUUCUAACCCGCAGCACUUAUCGUGCUGGGAGACAGUGUCAGGCGGGCAGUUUGACUGGGGCGGUCGCCUCCUAAAGAGUAACGGAGGCGCUCAAAGGUUCCCUCAGAAUGGUUGGAAAUCAUUCAUAGAGUGUAAAGGCAUAAGGGAGCUUGACUGCGAGACCUACAAGUCGAGCAGGGUCGAAAGACGGACUUAGUGAUCCGGUGGUUCCGCAUGGAAGGGCCAUCGCUCAACGGAUAAAAGCUACCCCGGGGAUAACAGGCUUAUCUCCCCCAAGAGUUCACAUCGACGGGGAGGUUUGGCACCUCGAUGUCGGCUCAUCGCAUCCUGGGGCUGUAGUCGGUCCCAAGGGUUGGGCUGUUCGCCCAUUAAAGCGGUACGCGAGCUGGGUUCAGAACGUCGUGAGACAGUUCGGUCCCUAUCCGUCGUGGGCGUAGGAAAUUUGAGAGGAGCUGUCCUUAGUACGAGAGGACCGGGAUGGACAUACCUCUGGUGUACCAGUUGUCGUGCCAACGGCAUAGCUGGGUAGCUAUGUAUGGACGGGAUAAGUGCUGAAAGCAUCUAAGCAUGAAGCCCCCCUCGAGAUGAGAUUUCCCAACUUCGGUUAUAAGAUCCCUCAAAGAUGAUGAGGUGAAUAGGUUCGAGGUGGAAGCGUAGCGAUACGUGGAGCUGACGAAUACUAAUCGAUCGAAGACUUAAUCAA